ensembl:lncRNA
AAGACGGAAGCCUUUUAGAACCAACGAGUACAUAAAAAUACAUCCAAUCUCCCCAAACCAUGUGAAAUAAUGUGUUAUGAUACCUGAUAAGACCAAAAUUCAACUUUUUAGCCUAAAAGUUACAGCUUGUUAUUAAUUGGAAACGGGCUCUCUCGUGGCUCCACCCACCACGCACGUUCGAACCAAUCAUAUUAUCCUCUCUGGCGUCCAUGGGCGUGACUAACCGCGUCGGUCUGUUAAAGGUAGCAGGUUGUACAUGGCGAGCGGGUUACUCACUGAGGGCUGGUGAUUGGUGUAAUGGAAGCCGUCUCUGAACCGCAUUUAAUGACGGAGAACUACAGAAGUGGAGAGAAAACGCAGCACUGAACAGCUUGUAGACUUCACACCCAACUAUAGGUGGUGUCCAAAGCCCCUGGUGGUGGAAGUGCAUGGCGUUUGUGUGGAAGCAGGUCUGUUGGGAGUGUUAAGUACCAUCAUCUCAUACACUCAGCAAACAAUAUGGAUGGAACUUUCCAGAGUUGUGGUGUCACUUUUCCUGCAAAGCUUUAACCAUCAGAGAGUUAUCUUUUACUGGGGCUUUUAGUUGCAGGAGACUGAAUUACUAACGGUGGGUUUUUUUUUUUUUUUUUUUUUGUGGAUCUGAUUUCUUCUUUCGCAGGAGUGGAUCUAAUCACAGCCUGUGAUAUUUGUCUGUGCACACAGGAUGGCUGGUUUCAGGUGAAGGUAUGAGGAACAUUAACUUGCCAUACAUUGCUUGCUUACAUGUUUACACCAAGAUCUGUAAACAAGUUAUUUUUGUCCAUAUGAUCACUAUAGAGAUAGUAAGUGAUGAGAAGAUAAGAAUGGGCUGAUUGUUCUGACUUGAACAAGCCCCUAUGAAAGAGUUGACCACAAGGGGGCACACUCUGAACAAUUAUUUACAUUUGCAGUUUGUUGAAGAUUAAAUAAACCACAGUGAGCAUCAGAUGUCUGGUUUUAAUACAAAGGACUAUUUUAUGAUAUUGCCAUCUUGUCAUUUAUCAAAGAAGAGCUACAAAAUCUGAAAUUUGUUCAUUUUUAGACAGAAAUUCUGCAGUGUAGCUGUUCUAGUGGGCUUUCCCACUGGAAGUUUAGUCCCAAACAGAGCAGUUUGCAUGAAAAGUUGGUAAUAUGACCGUCGUAAUGUGGACUGGGAAGUGCACUGCGGUACCGAACCCGAGACCACCUGUAGAAGGUGGUCCGAGUUCGGUUACACUGGAACUGUGAAUUGUCCCAUGAAUGUGAACGUAACUUGUAUCCGGGUCUGCACUUGUUCAGGAAGUAGAGUAACCUGUGCUGAAGGCCUGUUGUGGUGAUGUGUCAUGACAUGUUUUGGCCCAAAUCUGCAGUAACUUUGAAAAAGUGGAAGCUCCUCUGAAUAUUGUGGAGUUUCUUGAUUUUGUGUUAAUUUCUGUGAUCACAAAAUGGUGAAAUUCUGGACUGACACAUGGAAGAUAUGGAACGAUAACAGAAGAAUGUGACUUUGGGUUGUACCCCCCCCCCCCCCCCCCCCAGUAGCUUAAUUAUUUAGUAUAAAUGAAGGCAAGUGUGUGUUCUGUUCUUCAUCUCUGCAGUUGUGUAUUCCCUGAUCAAUGAUUGCUGGAGCUCUGGAAAUAGCAGGUGAGAUUGCAGGCCGGAGUCCAGUUGCUGUCCAGGGAACCAAAAUCAACCUCCUCUACUCCUGAGACCACAGUGUGACUGAGAGCCUAGACUACAUGGCUACUUGGAACAUGAACAUGUUGCAGACACAGGAUCUUAUGAAGUCAGUGCAGGCAGCCCUGGGAAAAAGAGUCCGAAAGACGUGCCCUUCUCCAAGCUUUAAAGGAGAAGAUCCAGGGCUGUUGAAGCUGCGGUGGAACUGAGACUUCAUCAUCCACAGAUCUUUAGUUCUUCUUGCUAAGUCUCAGUUUCUUUUUAGUCUUUUUAUUUUAGACUGGUCAAAAGACUGAACAGUGGAAGUGAAAUGAUAGAUGAACUUGCUUGAUUAUUUGCAGGUGCUUUGUACAGUAAGACAGGGUAACUAAUACUCAAAAGCCUGUUUUGUGUGUUCUAGUAGAUGUACAUUUUCUUUCUGGUGCUGUGUGACUGCAGAAUGUAGUGCAGUUAACACAUUAAAUUUCCUUGGAUGCUCUCUUUUAACUCGAGGAGGUCAUAGUUUGCCCAGACAUCUUUUUUUUUAAAUCCGUCAAUCCGUCACCCACACGUCAUUCUGGGGGACGAAGAGGAGGAAGCUGGACAGAUUUUAUUUAUUUAUUUAUUUAUUUAUUUAUUUAUUUAUCAUUGUGUUUCCUCAAUCGAGUGCAGAAAGAGUUUUGUAAAGUUUUGCUUUACAAUUCCAAAUGACCAUUGGUACUGUGUACACAUCAACAUACACACACGUCUCCAUGCUGGACAUAUCAGGUGCUUUCACACACAGUGCUAGGAAUAUCCCGGGACAGAGAAACGCACCUCCUAAGAACAGAAAUGAUCCAUCACCACCUGCUCCGUUUGACUCAAAAACAUAAACGAUUUCAAAAAGUCACGAUGUCUUCAGUUCGUGAUUUUUACUGUUGAAUUUAAACAGGAAAUGGCUUUUUUCCUUCCUUCGUUUCCUCUACUGUCUUUUUGCUGUGAUCUUGAACACAGUUGUAAUUUUUACAAAAAAAAUAAAUGAUCAUUCUAUUUCUCUCACUUUCCUUGUCCUAAUUGUCC